rnacentral:rRNA from 1 species
UACGUAGGGUGCGAGCGUUAAUCGGAAUUACUGGGCGUAAAGCGUGCGCAGGCGGUUUUUCAAGACAGGUGUGAAAUCCCCGGGCUUAACCUGGGAACUGCACUUGUGACUGUACGACUGGAGUACGGCAGAGGGGGAUGGAAUUCCGCGUGUAGCAGUGAAAUGCGUAGAUAUGCGGAGGAACACCGAUGGCGAAGGCAAUCCCCUGGGCCUGUACUGACGCUCAUGCACGAAAGCGUGGGGAGCAAACAGG